AAAUUGAAGAGUUUGAUCAUGGCUCAGAUUGAACGCUGGCGGCAGGCCUAACACAUGCAAGUCGAACGGUAGCACAGAGAGCUUGCUCUCGGGUGACGAGUGGCGGACGGGUGAGUAAUGUCUGGGAAACUGCCU
rnacentral:rRNA from 5 species